rnacentral:RNase_P_RNA from 1 species
UCAGGCGGCCGGAUGACCGCUGUUCCGCCCGUUGGGGCGGAAGGGAGGAAAGUCCGGGCUCCACGGAAAGACGGUGCCGGGUAACGCCCGGCGGGGGUGACCCCAGGGACAGUGCCACAGAGAACAGACCGCCGAUCAGGCCCGGGCAGCCGCCCGGACCGGAACGGCAAGGGUGAAACGGUGCGGUAAGAGCGCACCGCGGGGGCGGCGACGUCACCGGCAAGGUAAACCCCACCGGGAGCAAGACCGAAUAGGGACGGCGCGCCGGAACGCAGGUUCCGGCAGGGCAUUUCCGGCCUGCUGUCCGGGUUGGUUGCAGGAGGCAUCCGGUAACGGGUGUCCCAGAUGAAUGGUCAUCCAGCCCCUUCACGGGGUGGACAGAACCCGGCUUACAGGCCGCCUGACCUU